AAAGCUUACCAAAAAUCAAUAUUAAUUCACUAUCAACCAUUUAUUGUUGUGAUAAGUUGAAAUUUGAUUAUUAAAGCACACUUUCAAUCGUCGAGAUGCUGAAACAAAAUUAUAUAGACAAUAAAACUAAAAAAAAGGAAAAUUGACAAGAAAUAAAUUCUCGUACAAUGACAAGUUUUGUAAGAACUGGAAAGAAAAUAUUAGAAUAUGAAAAUGGAACUACAGAAAGGAAAUAUAUAAAUUAAUCGUGAUCAAAUAAUUAAUAAUGGACGAUAGAGCAGGUCUGAUAGCAGGUCCCUUACAGAAGUAGGGUUGGACUGGCCGACUGGCAACUUUCUCCUCCGUAGUCUUCCGAAGGUGCUGAUGGCUUAAUUCAUCUUCUUCCCUGAUCCGCUUCGCCUCCGCCUACUUUGCACAGGUGAUUAGUUCGUAGAAGGAGAUCACCGUGUCCUAUCAUCGAUGAGCUUAGCGCUGGUUGUACUUGGUACCAAGAGACCGCAAGUUACGACAGCCAUGAAGACUUAUCGCUGACAGCUGCAUGCUGGGCAUUCUUUGGUUUUGUAUCAACGAGAUCAUCACACACACUCAGCAACUUCCUGGACGUAUUUAUCAACACCCGUGAUUGGACUGAACCUGAUCAAGGAGACGCCACCUCGACUUUUUAGUGCGCAAAAAAUUUUACUGCAUUGCACUGCAUCUUAGAUGAAACUUUGACCUUCUUGAGUCAGUGUGAUUUAGGUGACAGCAAUACAACAAUUUAAAUCGGAGGUCAAUAUGGUAAUUUAAAAAGACCUCAUGUUCUCUUUAACAACAAGUUUAUUGGUUUCGGAUUUGGAUGAAGUCGUUGUUAUAUUUGUAUACCUUUUCAAGUUAUAUAGAUACGUCUUAGUAGAUUAUGAAAUUCAUAUAAAAUUUCUUUUCAAUUGUUAAAAAUUUAUUUGUUUUCGAAAACCGUUAUUAUCUGAUGGUGCAUUUCUCGUAUAUUGAAAUUUGAAUGACAAAAA